rfam:Asian citrus Psyllid, Diaphorina citri - Florida Strain, whole genome shotgun sequence.
GAUCAGGUUAGCUUAGUUGGUAGUGCGUCUGCCUUGUAAGCGCUAGGCCGCGGGUUCGAUUCCCGCCCGGGGCG